rnacentral:lncRNA from 1 species
UGCAGAUCCACCUCUCGGCCCACGCCAUCAAGCACGCCAAGGCCUACUGCUGCAGCAUGUGUGGGCGGGCCUACACCUCGGAGACCUACCUGAUGAAGCACAUGUCCAAACACACGGUGGUGGAGCACCUGGUGAGCCAUCACUCGCCCCAGAGGACGGAGUCCCCCGGCAUCCCGGUGCGAAUCUCUCUCAUCUGAGCCCACUGGAGGCGCCGCCCCACCCGGCCCACUGGCAGACACAGACCCAGGCAGCACCAGGCCCCAGCUCCCUCCGGGGGCCCUCCAGGAACCACCAAGCUCUCUCACGACCUUCCCAAUCUUCCAGAAAGCUUGGUCCGCAGAAGCCCUGCCUGGUCCAGUCCGGGGGCGGCCAGGCCAACUGCAAGAUUCUGGACUGUUUUGGUGGCAUCCAAAGACGAUCUCAGAGCACUUUGAACCUCUCUGUUGAGUUUUCUUUUUGUUCCCCACCCUUCACUUGCUUCACUGUUUUUUUUUUUUUCGUUUUUUUUUUUUAAGUUUGUUUUGGAAAUAACAGAAAAGAUAUUUAUUGGCCAGGAAGUUGGUGCUGCUAAGACCGAGAAAUUUAAAGAAUCGGACAGAUGGACGCAGAGAACCAGAGGGCAAUGUGGGACCUUCUCUUGCCAUGGCCUCAGGUCUUGAGGGAAGGCUCGGGCCUAGGUUUCUGGACUGCAAAGGGGACCCCCAGGUGGGAGGGGCAGGAAGCAGCCGGAGUGAGCCCUUCGCCCCUGAGUGCCUGGCUCGCACCUCUCGAGCUGUGCCCUGGGCAUCACUGAGCAGAGGGGUGCGGCAGCUUCAGGAGGCAGAAACGAGAGGGGUGGGAGAUCCACAGGACCAAAGGGUGCAGUGAUGGGCUGGGUGGCGGGCCCAGGGAAAUGGGGUGGGGAUGGGCUGGGUAAGACCUGGCCCUCCCCUGCUGCCCUGAAGACCACCCCAGUCUACCUCGGUGCUGGCCAGGAAACCUUUCGGCUACCUCUCCCACCAUCCCAGACUGUGGGCAGGGGGAUGGGGAGGGAGUGGGCCUGGAUCUGGGACCUCCCUCCAGAAUUUCCUCCAGAUGGGGGCAGUGCCCAGGGAGGGGUUAUUUGUCUUCCCUGCCAUGGAGUGGGAAUCCCCAGCCGAGGCCCUAGGCCCCUCAGCAGGGAAGGGAUCCCCGGGGAGGCAGGUCCCAGGAGCAGACCCUGCCCCCAGCCCCCACAGACACACCCCAAUCUGAAAGCCAUGCGUGUCGGUGUAUAUAGGAACCAUGUACAGAGCCCAGAGAAGCCCCCUACAUCCCCCCGGGAAAAAAAAGAAAACUAGACAG